CCGGAAGGAAUAGCAUAUAGAGAUAAAUAUUCAGAUGUGUGUUUAUCCGGAAGAAACAAAUUUCAGGGACUCGAAUCUGUGGGUGUGCAGAGGUAGCUAGGAAGGUUUGAAUGGCAGAACUAAGGGUGAUGCAUCGGCCAGUAGUGUAGUAUACUCGAUUACACGAUCGGGGAGAUGUACAUUGUUGUGUGCAUGAAACAGAUCAUGUAGGAUGGGGAUUGGUAGGGGGGGAAGAACAAGAAGAUGAGAUGAAAGAUGGCCAAAAUCUCAAUUAUUUCCCCCAGCGCCUAUCUGGGGCACAUGUUAGUGUUAGUGCUGCCCCUCUCCUGCUUCCUUUUCCUCAUAGUUUUUUUUCUUUAAAAAAAAGAUGCUUCUCUCCUUCUUCUCGUACACAUGAUUCCUUCUUCCCUUUGACUCCACCCUGCUCCUGUCCCUGCACAAACUGAAAAAACAUACAGAAAAAUAGUUGAAAAUGUAAUUUAUCCAACUUUUCAGAAGAAAUUUUAUGCAUAAUUUUUAUAUAUGUUUUCUUUCCCAGUAGUCGUGACAUAGUUAUGCCUGUCCCCUCAACGGCUAGUAGAUUAUUAUCUUUAGCAAGAUAAUACACCCCCUGUCAGUGAUAGCUGUCCCCAGGUGACACCCAAAAAAAAAAACCACUGAGCAAGCAAGGCAUGUGUGCCAUGUCUUUGCUAUGCUUCCCAUGAAAGUCACCUUCACAACAAAUCUCCCACACCUCCAUUCUCCAUGUACCCUUCCAUACCAUACCAUACCAUGCCAUACCCCAUCCAUCAUGGCCAUAGGCCAUCCAAAACCAAAGAAGAGAGAGAAAGUAUAGAGAGAGAAUUUUUUUAAGGGUGGCAUUAGUGGACAUAAUUAGUAUCACCUCGUGAGUAGUAAACCAUGUGCACUACUAUAUAACAAUCCCCUAAGCGGCCUUUGCCUUUAGUUGUUUGUGCCCUUCUUCUUCUUCUUCUUCUACUUCUUCUUCUUACUCGUGUUCGUUUUUGACAACCGGGGGGGUUCGUGGUUGCCAACUUUGUGAGCAAUGGAGAGAGGGAGGGCGGUGGCGGUGGCGGUGGCGGUGGCGGGGUUGGUGUGGGUGGCGGCGACGGUGGCCGCGGAGCCGCUGCCGCAGUACUACAACGCGAUAUUCAGCUUCGGCGACUCGUUCUCCGACACGGGCAACUUCGUCAUCAUCAACUCCGGCAAGCUCCCCAACAUGCCCAAGUUCCCGCCGCCGUACGCGCGCUGCUCCAACGGCCGCCUCGUCAUCGACUUCCUCGGUACGUGACGUGAUCGAUCGAUCGUCCGUCGUCUCCUGAUCGGAUGAGACAUGGGUGGCCGCAGGGUUUUAAGUUUCGGUUUGCAAUUUUCUACCGGAGGGGACCGACGGAAAUUUCGGAAUUUUUUCGGAAAUUUCGAACGAAAGUUUUCAAAUUUAAAUUUGAAAUUUUGUCAAAAUUUCUGAAAAAAAUCAAGCAAAUGCAGAGGAGGAGGAGAGGGCGAUGGGAAACCUGCGCAGCAGCAACCGGCGCCGCCACCGNNN
rnacentral:lncRNA from 1 species